GACGAACGCUGGCGGCGUGCCUAACACAUGCAAGUCGAACGGGACUCGCAAGAGUUCAGUGGCAGACGGGUGCGUAACACGUGAGGAACUUGUCCAUCGGCGGGGGAUAGCCGGCCCAACGGCCGGGUAAUACCGCGUACGACCCCCGGGGGGCAUCCCCUGGGGGUGAAAGCAGCAAUGCACCGAUGGAGAGCCUCGCGGCCUAUCAGCUAGUUGGUGAGGUAAUGGCUCGCCAAGGCGACGACGGGUAGCUGGUCUGAGAGGAUGAUCAGCCACAUUGGGACUGAGACACGGCCCAGACUCCUACGGGAGGCAGCAGUGGGGAAUAUUGCGCAAUGGCCGAAAGGCUGACGCAGCGACGCCGCGUGAGGGAUGAAGGCCUUCGGGUUGUAAACCUCUGUCGGGAGGGACGAAAUUCUGACGGUACCUCCAAAGGAAGCACCGGCUAACUCUGUG
rnacentral:rRNA from 1 species